rnacentral:rRNA from 1 species
GCGACCCCAGGUCAGGCGAGAACACCCGCUAAGUUUAAGCAUAUCAAUAAGCGGAGGA